GUGGGGAAUCUUGCGCAAUGGGCGAAAGCCUGACGCAGCCAUGCCGCGUGAAUGAUGAAGGUCUUAGGAUUGUAAAAUUCUUUCACCGGGGACGAUAAUGACGGUACCCGGAGAAGAAGCUCCGGCUAACUUCGUGCCAGCAGCCGCGGUAAUACGAAGGGGGCUAGCGUUGCUCGGAAUUACUGGGCGUAAAGGGCGCGUAGGCGGACAGUUUAGUCAGAGGUGAAAGCCCAGGGCUCAACCUUGGAAUUGCCUUUGAUACUGGCUGUCUUGAGUUCGGGAGAGGUGAGUGGAACUCCGAGUGUAGAGGUGAAAUUCGUAGAUAUUCGGAAGAACACCAGUGGCGAAGGCGACUCACUGGCCCGUUACUGACGCUGAGGCGCGAAAGCGUGGGGAGCAAACAGGAUUAGAUACCCGAGUAGUCC
rnacentral:rRNA from 1 species